AAUGAACGCUGGCGGCAUGCCUUACACAUGCAAGUCGAACGGCAGCAUGACCUAGCUUGCUAGGUUGAUGGCGAGUGGCGAACGGGUGAGUAAUGCAUCGGAACGUGCCUUUUAGUGGGGGAUAACGUAGCGAAAGUUACGCUAAUACCGCAUAUUCUCUGAGGAGGAAAGCAGGGGACCUUCGGGCCUUGCGCUAGAAGAGCGGCCGAUGUCGGAUUAGCUAGUUGGUGAGGUAAGGGCUCACCAAGGCAACGAUCCGUAGCGGGUCUGAGAGGAUGAUCCGCCACACUGGGACUGAGACACGGCCCAGACUCCUACGGGAGGCAGCAGUGGGGAAUUUUGGACAAUGGGCGCAAGCCUGAUCCAGCCAUGCCGCGUGAGUGAAGAAGGCCUUCGGGUUGUAAAGCUCUUUCGGCUGGGAAGAAAUCGCACCCUCUAAUACAGGGUGUGGAUGACGGUACCAGCAUAAGAAGCACCGGCUAACUACGUG
rnacentral:rRNA from 1 species